rnacentral:piRNA from 1 species
UGAUUAGAUGAAUAUGGUGAUGUGGCUGAGA